CUGCAACUACAGUCAAGUGACAACACCUUUCCGUUGAAGCAGUUUCACACGUGCCAGAAACUGCUACACAAUGCCAUAAGCAGCAAAGAAGCUGAGCAGGAGGUGACUUGAAACAGCCAGUCUGAAUGCCAUAUGGGAUUUCCACGUCAGGGUUUCAGCUCUGUUGUGCAUCAACAAGCUUGAACUGGUACCAUGAAGAAAAG
rnacentral:lncRNA from 1 species